UUUGUGACUGAGUGGCGGACGGGUGAGUAACGCGUGGGUAACCUGCCUCAUACAGGGGGAUAACAGUUAGAAAUGACUGCUAAUACCGCAUAAGACCACGGUACCGCAUGGUACAGUGGUAAAAACUCCGGUGGUAUGAGAUGGACCCGCGUCUGAUUAGGUAGUUGGUGGGGUAACGGCCUACCAAGCCGACGAUCAGUAGCCGACCUGAGAGGGUGACCGGCCACAUUGGGACUGAGACACGGCCCAGACUCCUACGGGAGGCAGCAGUGGGGAAUAUUGCACAAUGGAGGAAACUCUGAUGCAGCGACGCCGCGUGAAGGAUGAAGUAUUUCGGUAUGUAAACUUCUAUCAGCAGGGAAGAAAAUGACGGUACCUGACUAAGAAGCCCCGGCUAACUACGUGCCAGCAGCCGCGGUAAUACGUAGGGGGCAAGCGUUAUCCGGAUUUACUGGGUGUAAAGGGAGCGUAGACGGCACGGCAAGCCAGAUGUGAAAGCCCGGGGCUCAACCUCGGGACUGCAUUUGGAACUGCUGAGCUAGAGUGUCGGAGAGGCAAGUGGAAUUCCUAGUGUAGCGGUGAAAUGCGUAGAUAUUAGGAGGAACACCAGUGGCGAAGGC
rnacentral:rRNA from 1 species